rnacentral:rRNA from 1 species
GCGCCUGAUUAGCUUGUUGGCGGGGUAACGGCCCACCAAGGCGACGAUCAGUAGGGGUUCUGAGAGGAAGGUCCCCCACAUUGGAACUGAGACACGGUCCAAACUCCUACGGGAGGCAGCAGUGAGGAAUAUUGGUCAAUGGGCGAGAGCCUGAACCAGCCAAGUAGCGUGCAGGAUGACGGCCCUAUGGGUUGUAAACUGCUUUUAUAAGGGAAUAAAGUGAGUCUCGUGAGACUUUUUGCAUGUACCUUAUGAAUAAGGACCGGCUAAUUCCGUGCCAGCAGCCGCGGUAAUACGGAAGGUCCGGGCGUUAUCCGGAUUUAUUGGGUUUAAAGGGAGCGUAGGCCGGAGAUUAAGCGUGUUGUGAAAUGUAGACGCUCAACGUCUGCACUGCAGCGCGAACUGGUUUCCUUGAGUACGCACAAAGUGGGCGGAAUUCGUGGUGUAGCGGUGAAAUGCUUAGAUAUCACGAAGAACUCCGAUUGCGAAGGCAGCUCACUGGAGCGCAACUGACGCUGAAGCUCGAAAGUGCGGGUAUCGAACAGGAUUAGAUACCCUGGUAGUCCGCACGGUAAACGAUGGAUGCCCGCUGUUGGUCUGAAUAGGUCAGCGGCCAAGCGAAAGCAUUAAGCAUCCCACCUGGGGAGUACGCCGGCAACGGUGAAACUCAAAGGAAUUGACGGGGGCCC